UGAGGAAUAUUGGACAAUGGGCGCAAGCCUGAUCCAGCCAUGCCGCGUGCAGGAUGACGGUCCUAUGGAUUGUAAACUGCUUUUGUACAGGAAGAAACAGUUCUACGUGUAGAACCUUGACGGUACUGUAAGAAUAAGGAUCGGCUAACUCCGUGCCAGCAGCCGCGGUAAUACGGAGGAUCCAAGCGUUAUCCGGAAUCAUUGGGUUUAAAGGGUCCGUAGGCGGUUAGAUAAGUCAGUGGUGAAAGCCCAUCGCUCAACGGUGGAACGGCCAUUGAUACUGUCUGACUUGAAUUAUUAGGAAGUAACUAGAAUAUGUAGUGUAGCGGUGAAAUGCUUAGAGAUUACAUGGAAUACCAAUUGCGAAGGCGGGUUACUACUAAUGGAUUGACGCUGAUGGACGAAAGCGUGGGUAGCGAACAGGAUUAGAUACCCCAGUAGUCCCUGAGCGGGCUGGCAAGGCGCAU
rnacentral:rRNA from 1 species